rnacentral:lncRNA from 1 species
CGACUGCAGACGCCUGGCACAUUCCAAAUGCAAGGUGAAGAAAACGGCGUCUGUCACCGGCUUGUCUUUGCCUAGGUUAAUUUGCCUUCGGUUGAUCUCAGACCAGACGUUCAGCUACCACAUGUACUUCCUGAAGUCGCCAGCAGGUGGUGGAGUUGGACUAUAAUUUAGGUGGGCAGGGUCUGACACUCCUCCAGCUUUGGGUUUUGUGAAACAACAGAAAUCAUUUCUUUUUCUUUAUCCACACCCAGAAUUAUUAGCAUACGGAAUAAAGAGUGGUUAUUCUUGCCACGUGAUGCUAUAGAAUAUCAAAGAAAAGGUUGUGCUGGGUAGUGUCCUGCUCCUAAAAGUUCUGCCCGUUUGUAUCUGGUGGUGUCCUCUGUGUGUGCGUGUGGCAACUCCAGACUUCGUAUUAAGCAAUAGACGCCCCCAUCGUUUCCGCUUCCGAGGGGUGCUACAAGAGCCACAUGGUCCCAGAAGGAGUGGUGCGCCGCGGGAAUACUUGGUUCGCACUGCCACCCCCGAGAGUGCCUCAUUCCUGCGUACUGCGCCUGCGUACUGCGCCUGCGUACUGCACCUGCGAUAAAGAGGAGGCGCCUCAGGCCAGGUGCAUGGCCAGAGGCCAACUGGGAUUCCUGAUAAGGGAUUUGCUCCAGCCGGGAGCCUGGUGCAUCCUGAGCAGGGAAUGGAACUCAGGACCUCACACUUGACAGGCAGGCAGUGUGCUGCUGAGCUGUAUCCCCAGCCCGGUGAAGCGAUUCUUGAUCUCCACUGCAACACCUGUGUUUCAAGUUGGACGAACCGAAGCUGUUCUAUACCAUGACCCAUGAAUGUGCCAAAGAAGCCAUCUUCUUAUUAAAAACGAUUAGUUAUUAAUCAUCUUGACUCCCAAAUACGAUGAGGAACUCAUAUCUGCUCUGACAACAGUUUCCAAAACAGGAGCUCAUACCUUUUAUCAGAGAGAGGGAAAAUUGCUUCCCUUUGAAAUGGGAAUUGAUUUUUUGUGCCUAACACAUGAAGCAUGUAUGUAACAGUCCAGCACCAUGCUGAGAUCUAUGCGAGAGGAGAGUGAUUCCUGCGGGGAGAGAGUGGUUCUCACGCCCUGUGUAGGGUAAACCUAACAUCUAGCUGCAGAGUUCCAGCAACAUGCAGUGGG